CCCUAGAUUCUUAACGCCGAACAGGGCAACGGCUGAAGACAAAGAAGGCAUCAAAGGCGAGAGAAGAGAAAUGCCAAGCGUUGUUUGCCCCAGAAGAAGGGAAGAAGAAGAUCCCACUCAUGGUUGAAGGAAGAGGAAGAGGCGAGAAGAGAGCUAACGGCCUCGGCCGUUCUUCUUCUAAUUCCCCUCGUUUGUUCCCCCAAAACGGCGUCGCUGCCUCCUCCGCAACCUCCUGUUCCCUCCGUCCCCCAAACAAGACUCAGCAAACUCCGGACUUCUUUUUCUGCCAUGGUUGUGGCCGUCGCUUUCCCUCCGACGAGGAGGGAGGAGAUCACCUCGUACAUCUCCGAUCCCAGUGGCGAGUGGUCCUCCUUUGCGGUGUCUGUCUCGCCAGCGUCAAAUCUGCAGCCGUCUGCUCCUACUGCUUCUCCCCCGUCGCCGACUCUGAACGCUGCCUUUUCUGCCCCCGCUGUUCCUGCAGAGUUCAUCUCCGAUGCGGCGAUCUUGAGCACCGAUCCGUCGAUCCUUGGCGCCUCAAUCCAAGAUCGUUCAUCUGCAUCGAUUGCUGUGCGAUUCCUAAACGUUGCGGAAGGAGCUUGGUUCUGGAGAGCAGGAUCUGUCAGGGGACGUUGGCAACGGAAUCAAGCUUUGUGGCGGAAAAGACCGAUACAAACGCUAGGUUUAGGGAGGACGGUUUCGAGAAGAUAACUGCAGAUAAAGGUGUCGCCGAGAGGGCGAGUUAUGCAUCUGGUGUUGUUUCCGUGACCAAGCAGGAAACUCCCGAGCGGAAUACAUAUGUGGCUUCGUGUACCGAUGAAGAAGUAGCUCUCCAGCUUCAUCUGGCCAUCAAUGGUUCAAGGAGGAUCUCGAGGAGUUCAGGUGGUGCUUCUCUAGAUCUGAAAUUGUGUGCGAAUCAUGGUGAUCGAAUUGGCAGGGCUGGAAAUUUAGGAGGUCGAAAAUUUUGCAAAACAGUUGAUAAAUGCUUGGAGGAUAAGUUCUCUGAGGUCGUGACAGCCACAACUGAGUUUUGCCAGGGAUCAAAUGGUACUUCAUGUUCCAAGGACAAGAAGUUGAUGGAUGAUGAUCUUAUAGAUGGUCAGGCCGAUAUGACUUUGAUAGAGGAUCAAGGAAGCAGUUCUAGUAAAGUUGUUAAGAUCCACAGUGAAGACCAUGAUUUGGACUGCCUUGCUUCCAAUUGUGAGAGGAAGAAAGAAUGUGCCUCCGUAUUGUAUCCGUCAAUUUGCCGGAGAGAUGUCCUGGAAAAAACUGAGUUGCUACAAAAGGAUGAUAUAUCAAUACCAGAUAAGUAUCUCAAAAAGUAUUCUAGGAGGAGGUUGAGAUUAAAAGGUUUGGCUGAUCAAAGGAUAAUCAUCUAGUCUAUUGGGCUAUGGGAGAUAUUUUAGGAAGAAGCAGCAACUGCAGACUCGUUAUUUGGUGAAUUACACCCUAUAUGUAACCUCCAAAUUGAAGGCUCAAGCGGAGGUUUUGUACUGUACAUUGGAGACUCUUAUUUCAGACCGUUUGAAAGAACUCUAGAAGACGAUUCUUUUGCCAACUAAUCCACAAAGUUCUUUGGAGUGGUAUUAUUCGGCUGAGGUUAGCAUUUGACAAAGUAGUUGAGGCUUAAAUAUAAACAGAAAUUAGAUGCACCAAAGAAAUGUCUAUGUGAGAUUAUGUAUUUCUGUGUCUGCAUUACUUGUAUUUGACAAAAUAGAUAGCAUCCAUUAGUUUUGGUUUUUAGUUAUUCA